AUGGCGGCCAAUAAUAGCGGCAGCGAGCCCCGCAUCCCCGAGGACGUGACGCUCGAGGAGGAGGCGGAGGCGGAGGCCAAGGGGAAGGCGCCGGCGGCCUCGUCGGCCACCACCACCACCAUGAACCGCUCCGGCUCGCGCCCGCAGCUCGACCUCAGCGGCGCCGCCAUCCACGGCACCCUCGAGGACCGCAACCCCACCAUCCUGCUGCCCAACCAGUCCGACGACAUCUCCCACCUCGCCCUCGACAUCGGCGGCUCUCUUAUAAAGUUGGUGUACUUCUCACGGCAUGCGGAUCAGCCCACCGAGGAUAAACGCAAGCUAUCCACCAAGAGAAGGCUUGAGAUAUUUACCGGUGCCAGGAGGAGUUACCCGGUUCUUGGAGGGAGGCUCCAUUUUGUCAAGUUUGAGACUGGGAAGCUAAACGAAUGCUUGGACUUUAUUUCUUCCAAACAACUACACCGGGGUGGAGUUGAUUCACCUUCAUGGCGCUCAGGAGCUCAGCCUGAUAACAUUGUAAUCAAGGCAACAGGUGGUGGAGCAUUCAAGUAUGCUGAUCUUUUUAAGGAAAGAUUGGGAGUCAGUCUUGAGAAGGAAGAUGAAAUGGACUGUCUUGUAGCUGGAGCAAAUUUUCUGCUUAAGGCUAUACGCCAUGAAGCCUUUACACACAUGGAUGGCCAAAAGGAGUACGUGCAAAUUGAUCAGAACGAUCUGUUUCCUUACCUUCUAGUUAAUGUUGGAUCUGGUGUCAGCAUAAUCAAGGUUGAUGGGCAUGGGAAGUUUCAACGAGUAAGUGGAACAAACGUUGGUGGCGGUACAUACUGGGGAUUGGGGAGGUUAAUGACAGAGUGCAAGAGUUUUGACGAGUUACUAGAGCUGAGCCAACGUGGAGACAACAGCACCAUUGACAUGCUUGUAGGAGAUAUAUAUGGUGGUCUGGACUACUCCAAGAUUGGCCUUUCGGCGUCAACAAUUGCCUCUAGCUUUGGGAAGACAAUUUCAGAUAACAAGGAGCUAUCUGAUUAUAGACCCGAGGAUAUUUCACUCUCCCUCUUACGGAUGAUUUCAUAUAAUAUUGGCCAGAUCUCCUAUCUUAAUGCACUUCGAUAUGGACUCAAGAGGAUAUUUUUUGGUGGAUUCUUCAUUCGUGGCCAUGCUUACACCAUGGACACCAUUUCUUUUGCAGUACAUUUCUGGUCAAAAGGAGAAGCAAAAGCCAUGUUUCUGCGUCAUGAGGGUUUUCUAGGAGCACUUGGCGCGUUUAUGAGUUACGAGAAGCAUGGUCUUGAUGACUUGAGUGCACAUCACUUGGUUGAGCGUUUUCCAAUGGGUGCUCCAUAUGUUGGUGGGAAGAUUCACGGGCCUCCUCUGGGGGAUCUCAACGAGAAGAUAUCAUGGAUGGAGAAGUUUGUGCAGAAGGGUACUCAGAUUACAGCACCUGUACCCAUGGGAGCUCCUGCUACGACAGGCAUGGGAGGUUUUGAAAGGCCUACUUCCAAGGGUGACAUUUUGCGGUCUGAUGCAAGUGCAGCUCUAAAUGUUGGUGUUCUCCAUCUUGUACCCUCAUUGGAUGUCUUCCCAUUGUUGGAAGACCCAAAGACGUAUGAACCAAACACAAUCGAUCUCGACCAUGACGAAUUCAAGUACUGGUUCACCAUUUUGUCAGAUCAUCUGCCAGAUCUUGUGGAGAAGGCGGUUGCCAGUGAAGGUGGGACUGAUGACGCGAAACGGCGGGGAGAUGCGUUUGCGCAUGCCUUUUCUGCUCAUUUGGCAAGGUUGACUGAGGAGCCUGCUGCUUAUGGGAAGUUCGGUUUAGCCAACCUGUUGGAGUUGAGAGAAGAAUGUUUGAGAGAAUUUCAAUUUUUCGAUGCAUAUGUUAGUAUCAAGCAAAGGGAAAAUGAAGCUUCACUGGCUGUUUUACCUGAUCUACUCAUGGAACUUGAUAGUAUGGAUGAGGAAGAUAGAUUGCUUGCGCUAAUUGAAGGUGUUCUUGCUGCGAACAUAUUUGAUUGGGGGUCUAAAGCUUGCGUGGACCUUUACAACCAAGGAACUAUAAUAGAAAUUUAUCGCAUGAGCCGCAAGAAGAUGCAACGUCCUUGGCGGAUUGAUGACUUUGAUACGUUCAAAAGCAGAAUGCUUAAGAAAGAUCAGCCAUACAAAAGAGCACUUAUUUCGGUUGAUAAUGCAGGUGCUGAUGUGGUCCUUGGAAUGCUUCCUUUAGCACGAGAAUUUCUACGCCGUGGAGUUGAGGUAGUUCUGGUUGCAAAUUCGUUGCCGGCUUUGAACGAUAUUACGGCUAAUGAACUUCCAGAAAUUGUAGCUGAAGCUGCAAAGCACUGUGGUAUCCUUCGGAAAGCUGCAGAAGCAGGCGGACUGAUAGUCGAUGCUAUGGCUGGCAUCCAAGGUGAUACCAAGGAUGAACCGGCGUCGGUGCCACUAAUGGUCGUGGAGAAUGGAUGUGGCAGUCCAUGCAUUGACUUCCGGCAGGUUAGCUCGGAGCUUGCAGCUGCUGCCAAGGACGCUGAUCUGUUGAUCUUAGAGGGCAUGGGGCGGUCACUGCAUACCAACCUGAAUGCCCGUUUCAAGUGUGACGCUCUGAAGCUUGCGAUGGUGAAGAACCAGAGGUUGGCAGAGAAGCUUUUCAACGGAAACAUAUACGACUGCAUCUGCAAAUUUGAACCUGUUUCGUGA
rnacentral:rRNA from 1 species